AUUCAGCCUCUGAACUUGAACUAGGUUCACUAGGUUCUGGAUGCCUCUUCUUUCUUCUCAAAGUUCUUUCAAAAUCGCCGUCGAACUUCGAGAUGUUUGCACUGAUAUGUUGAGAACUACGAGUCAUAAACUAGUACCUGAAAAUAAGAAAUAAACCCAAUCAGCAAACUAAAAUAAAAACACACAAAAAUAUAUAAGCACACAAAUUAAACCCUCUUUUUAUCAAAUGUAGUAAAGUAUGUAAGUAAGGAUCGUUCUAGGCCUGGGAUUAGGAGGGAUAGCUAAAUCACUUGGAAACUGACUU
rnacentral:lncRNA from 1 species